rnacentral:rRNA from 1 species
CGGAUGACGCUAGCUACAGGCUUAACACAUGCAAGUCGAGGGGCAGCAUGGUCUUAGCUUGCUAAGGCCGAUGGCGACCGGCGCACGGGUGAGUAACACGUAUCCAACCUGCCGUCUACUCUUGGACAGCCUUCUGAAAGGAAGAUUAAUACAAGAUGGCAUCAUGAGUCCGCAUGUUCACAUGAUUAAAGGUAUUCCGGUAGACGAUGGGGAUGCGUUCCAUUAGAUAGUAGGCGGGGUAACGGCCCACCUAGUCUUCGAUGGAUAGGGGUUCUGAGAGGAAGGUCCCCCACAUUGGAACUGAGACACGGUCCAAACUCCUACGGGAGGCAGCAGUGAGGAAUAUUGGUCAAUGGGCGAGAGCCUGAACCAGCCAAGUAGCGUGAAGGAUGACUGCCCUAUGGGUUGUAAACUUCUUUUAUAAAGGAAUAAAGUCGGGUAUGGAUACCCGUUUGCAUGUACUUUAUGAAUAAGGAUCGGCUAACUCCGUGCCAGCAGCCGCGGUAAUACGGAGGAUCCGAGCGUUAUCCGGAUUUAUUGGGUUUAAAGGGAGCGUAGAUGGAUGUUUAAGUCAGUUGUGAAAGUUUGCGGCUCAACCGUAAAAUUGCAGUUGAUACUGGAUAUCUUGAGUGCAGUUGAGGCAGGCGGAAUUCGUGGUGUAGCGGUGAAAUGCUUAGAUAUCACGAAGAACUCCGAUUGCGAAGGCAGCCUGCUAAGCUGCAACUGACAUUGAGGCUCGAAAGUGUGGGUAUCAACAGGAUA